UUUCACCACCAUUACUACUUUCGCACUUUCACGUGGAUGCCACAAUUAAUUCGGAUUAAAGUUUGAGGAUGGGUGUAUUGGAACUGCCGUCAGAAUGUGUGAACAUACAGCCAGGAUUGAUUGGACUUUUCCUCAUUGUUCAUGGAUAAGGGUGCUGGUUUGAAGAACAAGUUGCCUGCAGACUGUGCUAAACCUGAUGCCUUUUUAGACAGAGCUCGUAACCGUGUCCACCAGACAUGCUGUGUGCCUGCUCCAACUACAUACAAAAACUGGAUUGGGAUGAGACAAACGGCCAUGGCAGCUCUCGGAGCAAAACAAUUCAACAUUUGGAGAAGACAUUGGAUAAACAACAAGAAGAUUGUGCAGAUAUAGGAUUCAACUCAGUGUAAACAAUCAUUGUAAUAUAAUAAAACUUUCACAAGGGAUGUAUUCAUCAAAUCUGGAAAAACAAUAGUUUCACAAGAACAAAACAUUCCUGUAUGAUGGGUUUAAUGGUAUGAUAGUGGUAAUGGAAGAACAGAACUUUCACAGAUGAUGGAUUCAACUCAGAAAAAGAAUAGUAAAGCACAAACAGAAGUUUCACAAAUAAACGGGUUCAACUCUAGAAAAACGGGAAAGUGAAAACAGAACUUUUAAGACUUCAAGGAUCAACACUUGAAAACAGUAUUAAAGCAAAAGCAAAACAAAACAGAUCAAGGAUUCACUACCAGAAAAAAUUACGAUAUAAGCAAGAACGGCCACACACAAAGUAUUCAUCUCGGGGAAAAACAGUGGUUGUACAAAUACCAGCUUUUGCUGAUUGAGUUUCAGAAAAAAGAACUGUGCAAGAACCAGCGAUUUUGCCUUCUCUAUAAAGUACCCUUAAAAGGACCUUUUCCAAAUUCUAAAAGCAGCAAGUUUUUUCCCAAGCAAAAAAAGACAAAGAAAACUUGUCAAAUUGUCUAGUGGUUUGGUAUUGACUUGUACAUGCAACAGAAAUUUUAAGUUUGCAGAUAUUAAUGAUUGCUUGCAAUUUUAUAUUCAGUAUGAACAGGCCAAUGCCGCAAUUCUUCCCAGUUCAGCUGGUACCAGACCUCUUCCAAAAGUGGCAAAAAAAUUGCAUACAACAAACAUAUUUUCAGACAGAUGACGGUAUUGAUUGUAUAUGCUGUGUUAUUCGUUGUCAGAAAAAAGAUAGAAGACAUUAGCAUUACCAGUUAUUAGCAAGAAGCAGAAAUAUAUAAAUGAAGAACAGAAAGAACUCUAAAAUGCAUUGAAGAAUUCAUUUUGUCUUGAUAUACUGAACAUAGGUUUAAAGUGGAACAUGCAAGAAACACAAGGGGAAUUGGAAUGUCGGAGUAAUUGUAGAUUCAUUGUUAUGUGAUGAACAGAUUCUUGAUGAAGUGGGACAGCAAGUUUGACAUUUUGGUUUACUGUGUUUUUCUAAAGUUUGCGUGAAAGUAACUUCAUUUGGUUUGGAAAUACAAAGAAACAAGUAAGUGUUAAAAGAUAGCCCUGAAGACACACCUUUAAGUUUAAGCUGAAGAGGUAAGUUUGUAGAUAUAUAGUUAGUUGUCAAAUUAUCUUUCAAGAAGAGAACACCAGAUGUAAUGUUUUCACAAGCAGCAAGAUAAAAGUGACAAGUACAAACUAGUGUUUCCAGUUGAAAGAUAAGUUGAGAAGAAAUGGCAAGAAUAUGUACAGGCCUUUCCAUGACAUUUGUGAAUACCUGUACUGGUGACCUUAUAAUUAUUGCAUCAAAAGUAGUUUGAAUUACUGGAAACUCUUUUAUUUUGUUUUGUUCAUGCAGAAACUUAGAAACUAGUAGAAAUUCAUUUAAGUAUAUUAAUAUCUAAGACAAACCAGUUUCUACCAUAUCUUAAAAUAAAUGUCUGGUCAUAACAGCUGAAAUUCCAGAACAUCCUUCAGGUGUUUUGUUGCAAAUGGUAUGUGAUGGAACCAAAAAUGCUUGGUUGAAUUAUUUUUUUGUAAAAACUUUGGAGUAUUUAUAGGUAUGAUAUCAAGUGAUGGAUUUGCACAAGGCCAUACCAUAUUGAUUAAUAGUUCUUAAGAAAAUUUUCAAAAAAGGAUAUAGUGAGCGAAAUUUCUAUUUUAUUUUUUUUCUCAAUUUUGGUUUUUUCAGGGGCAGGUAGACUUUACAUGGAGCGAGUGUUUUUUUAAAAAAAAAAAAUCCCAGCUCGGACCCUUGAGAAGGCGGUUAUGGUUAUACAUGAAGUUAACAUUUCUUUUGAAAUAACAGAGAAAUUAAUCAUUUACAGUGUGACUAACACAGUUUAUAGCUUCUCUGUAUGUUUUAAAGACUACAUGAAUGAAUUUGCAAAUAAAUUCUUGCCAAAACUCACAGAAUCACUUUUUAUUUUGCGUUUAUAAUGACUUAAGAGAUGAGUGUCUUAUUUUUAAUUUUGAUUUUUCUACAUAAAUCAUUUCAGUCAAAAAUGAUGAUAAUCGGACAAAGAAUGAUCCCAAUAUGACCACCCUUAAAAGUGUUAUUCGUUGCGCUUUGAUUGACCUAGAGAUUUAGACUGUGGCCGAGUGGUUAAGGUCGCUGAAUUCAAAUCACUUGCCCCUCAUCGAUGUGGGAUUGAGCCUCACUUUGGGCGUUUAAUUCUUCAUGUGGGGAAGCCAUCCAGCUGGCUUACGGAAGGUCGGUAGUUCUACCCAGGUGCCCGCUCGUGAUGAAGUAAUGCACGGAAGGGCACCUGGGGUCUUCCUCCACCAUUAAAGCUGGAAAGUCGCCAUAUGACCUAUAAUUGUGUCGGUGCGACGUUAAAUCCAAACAAAGUGUGUGGCACAUUAGCACAGACACUCAAGAUUUAAAACAAAUGAUGAACAACACCAUAAUUCCUGACUUUUUUAGUUUGGGUCAUCAGCUACAUAUAUUAUGGACCCGCGAAUUCCAAUCAUUGUCACUUUGACGCAUUAAAACAGCGGUAAAUCCUGUUUUGCCGUUAUCAUUCCGGACCUCGUAAUCAGAAAAAGAUCAGAGAUUUUUAUGUACGUACAAGCGGGUUAAUUCAUUUUUUUUUCUUGGGUAUGAAAUUAUUAUGCGGUAUUUACAUUGAACGACAAAUCAUUUUGGUAUGGCUUAAUGUGUAGCAAAAAUGAUGUGAAAUAUAAAUGAUAUGAAAUAUACAGACAAUGUAUGACGGCUCCAUACUGAUUUCAGGUUUUUGAUGUCAUUUGUCUAAAUGUGUCCAGAGACUUACCUAAAACCAUUGUAAUUCUUGAAAUCUGUUUAAGAUCUAAAGGCUAAAAGAAUAAUUGUUAUCAUAAAAGAUUUUGCUGUCUUAAUUGCGAUUUUUUCCUGACAAAUACCAGUUUUAUCAUGGAACAGCCAAUAUAUAUUCCAUGUGUUAUCAGUGGCUUUAUUGAACCCCCCGACAACAAAGUUGUAAGAGGCGGGGGGGGGGGGGAAGUAUACUGGUUUCAGGUUGUCUGUCUGUCUGUCCGUAGAAGCAGCCUUGUGCGCACCAUCUCUCCUUAUCCCCUUGACAGAAUUUAAUGAAACUUCACACAUGUGUUCAGUACCAACAGUAGUUGUGCAUGGGGCAUGUUAGGUUCUUUUAGAAAAAAAAAAGCAGAGUUGUGGGACUUUGUUUUUUGUUACUAUACUAUAUACAUAGACACAAUCUUGUGUGCACCAUCUCUCCUCACCCCAUUGACACAAUUUAAUGAAACUUCACACAAGUGAUCAGUAACAAAAGUAGUUGUGCACGGGGCAUGUUAGGUUCUUUCAGAGAUUAAAAAUUGCAGAGUUAUGGGACUGUUUUUUUGUUACUAUACUAUAUACAUAGACACAAUCUUGUGCGCACCAUCUCUCCUCAUCCCCUUGACACAAUUUAAUGAAACUUCACACAAGUGAUCAGUAACAACAGUAGUUGUGCAUGGGGCAUGUUAGGUUCUUUCAGCGACAAAAAUUGCAUAGUUAUGGGACUUUGUUUCUUGUUAACAUACUAUGUACAUACAGUCUGCAUAUGCAAUCUUGUGCGUGCCUAAUCUACCAAACCCUUACACACAAUUUAAUGAAACUUCACACAAGUGAUCAGUACCAACCCUAGUUAUGCAUGGUGCAUGUUACAUUCUUUUAGAUAAAUAUUCUGGGACUUUGUUUUUUGUUUCUAUAUUGUAUACAUACAGUCUAUAAACAUACAGUCCACAUAAUUAUGCAAUCUUGUGUGCGUCAAAUUGCAAUGUACUGUGCCAGUGCAUGCGGGGGGUACAUUCAUCACCUUUAGUGAUAGCUCUAGUUAAUUAAGAUAUAUACAAAGCUUGUUACAUCAGUGUCAAAAUCAAAAUUUGUCAGGAGGUACCUAAUUAGAAAUCUGUAGUUUUGAGCUCACCUGAGCACGAAGUGCUCAAAGGUGAGCUUUUGUGAUCGCCCUUUGUCCAUCGUCCGUCGGCGUCUCUAAAAAAAGUUUACACUCUAGAGAUCACAAUUUUGGCCCAAUCUUAAUGAAAAUUGUUACUCUCAAUGAAAUCUUGGACAAGUUUGAUAUUGGGUCAUCUGGGAUCAAAAACUAGGUCACCAGGUCAAGUCAAAGGAAAACCUUGAUAACACUCUGGAGGUUACAAUUUUGGCCUAAUGUUAAUGAAACUUGGUCAGAAUGUUACCUUCAAUAAAAUCUUGGACAAGUUUGGUCAUCUGGGGUCAAAAACAAGGUCACCAGGUCAAAUCAAAGGAAAAGCUUGCUAACACUCUAGAGGUCACAUUUUUGGUCCAGUUUAAAUGAAACUUAGUCAGAAUGUUAUCCUCAAUAAAGUCUUGUGUACGAGUUCCACAGUAGGUCAUCUGGGGUACUAAAAUAAGGUCACUAGGUCGAAUCAACGGAAAAACUUGUUAACACUCUAGAGGUAACAAUUGUGGCCUAAUCUUAAUUAAACUUUGUCAGAAUGUUACGUCAAUGAAUUAAAUCUUGGACGAGUGCGAUAUUGGGUUAUCUUGGGGUUAAAAACAGGAGACCAUGUCAGAUCAAAGGAAAAGGUUCUUAACACUGCAGAGGCCACAUCUAUGACUGCAUCGUGAUGAAACUUGGCCAGAAUGUUAAUCUUGAUGAUUUCAAGGUCUUGUUUGAAUCUGGACCAUUUAGAAUAAACCAGGUCACCAGGUCAAAUCACAAGAAAAGCUAGUUAACACUGUAGAGGCCACAUUUAUGACCAUAUCAUAAUGAAACUUAAUCAGAAUGUUAAUCUUGAUGAUUUAUAGGUCACAAUCAAAUCUUGGUUAGGUGGGGUCAAAAACUAGGUUACUAGGUCAAAUCAAAGGAAAAGCUUGUUCACACUCUAGAGGCCACAUUUAUGACAGUAUCUUCGUGAAUCUUGGUCAGAAUGUUAAUCUUUCAUGAUUGAAUCUGGGUCACGUGUGUCAAAACUAGGUCAGCGGGUCAAGUCAAAGGAAAACCUAGUUAACACUUUCGAGGUCAUAUUUAUGUCCAUGAAUCUUGGUCAGAAUGUUAAUCUUUUCAAUAUUUAGGUGAUGUUUAAAUCUGGGUCACGUGUGGUCAGAAACAAGGUCAACCGCCCAAAUCAAAGGAAAAGCUAGUUAACACUUUAGAGGCCACAUUUAUGUCCAUAUCCUUAAUGAAACUUGGAUAGAAUGUUAAUCUUGAGGAUCUUUAGGUCAAAAGAUCAGGUGAGAGAUACAGGGCCUUCACGGCCCUUUUGUUAAAUUUUUGAAUGAACAGUUGUUGGAUAUAUUAAAGCAAACACUCUCGAUGUUGUGCAUUUAAUUCAUGGAGAGAAUUUUUGUUUGUAUAUUGGUUACCAUGGUUAGUAACCCACUAAAAAGCCUAGAAUAAUAAAAGUUGCAACAAUGUUUUUAUGCCCCCGAAGGGAGGCAUAUAGUUUUUGAACCGUCUGUCUGUCUGUCGGUCUGUCAGUCUGUCGGUCUGUCAGUCUGUCCGCAAUUUUCGUGUCCGGUCCAUAUCUUUGUCAUCGAUGGAUGGAUUUUCAAAUAACUUGGCAUGAAUGUGUACCACAGUAAGACGACGUGCAGUGCGCAAGACCCAGGUCCGUAGCUCAAAGGUCAAGGUCACACUUAGACGUUAAAGGAUAGUGCAUUGAUGGGCGUGUCCGGUCCAUAUCUUUGUCAUUGAUGGAUGGAUUUUCAAAUAACUAUGCAUGAAUGUGAACCACAGUAAGACGACGUGCAGUGCGCAAGACCCAGGUCCGUAGCUCAAAGGUCAAGGUCACACUUAGACGUUAAAGGAUAGUGCAUUGAUGGGCGUGUCCAGUCCAUAUCUUUGUCAUCGAUGGAUGGAUUUUCAAAUAACUUGGCAUGAAUGUGUACCACAAUAAGACGACUGUCACA